UACCAUGAACCAAUACACGCCACGCAAGCGCUCUGAAAUUUACAGAAGUCAAUUGUGAAAACUCAACGUGCUUUUAAAACAUUAAAAAAUGUGAGAAGUGCGCCUUCUAAGAACACCAUUAAGCGUUUAUACGAAAAAUUUUCGACUGGUAAGGCUCUUUCUAAUCCGAAGAGGCCAUAUAAAAGUCGACCAAGGCGAUCCGCCGAGAAUAUCGGUGCCGUACGAGCCAGUGUUGAGAGGUCCCCAAGAACAUCCCAAAAACGCCGUUCUCAGCAGUUGGGCAUGGCUCGUUCCACUUUACAACGGAUUAUUCGCAUUGAUUUGCAUUUGUUCCCGCACAAAAUUCAAUUGACGCAAAGAAUGUUGCCUGCGGACAAGCCUCGUCGAUUGGAAUGGGCCCAAAGAGUCAUGGGUCCGUCGAAUAUGGGCAACCCUUUUUCUAGGAUGCUCAUUUCAACGAUUUGUGAAUCUGAGAUUUUUUAUCACUCAGGUGUACUCACCUAAUUCUUCUCCGAACAGAUGUUCACAUAGAUGGGUCAUUUCUGGUGAGAGCAUCUCGACUAUUCAAUAUAUCAUCCAAUAAUUUAAAUAUAUUUAAUUUAACCACUUUAUCUUUAUAGCCACUGGCACAUUUGUUUUGUAUUUUUUUUUUAAUUUUUUAUAAAUAGUUAUAUUUUGUUUAUUGAAUUUAAUAUUUAAUUUUGAAAUAUGUAAAACUGUACACUUGUAAUCGUUGAAUAUUGUAAUAGUUAUUGUCCCCUGGGAUUUUCAUUACAAAUUCAACUGUUAAUUAAUAAAUAAUCCAGACACA